rnacentral:rRNA from 1 species
UACGUAGGGGGCAAGCGUUGUCCGGAUUUAUUGGGCGUAAAGAGCGUGUAGGCGGCCAGAUAGGUCCGUUGUGAAAACUCGAGGCUCAACCUCGAGACGCCGAUGGAAACCAUUUGGCUAGAGUCCGGAAGAGGAGAGUGGAAUUCCUGGUGUAGCGGUGAAAUGCGCAGAUAUCAGGAAGAACCCGCGUGGCUGAGGCGGCUCUCUAGUACGGUACUGACGCUGAGACGCGAAAGCGUGGGGAGCGAACAGG